rnacentral:tRNA from 1 species
GCAUUGGUGGUUCAGUGGUAGAGUGCACUCGGGCCGCCCGGGUUCGAUUCCCGACCGAUGCA